rnacentral:rRNA from 1 species
GGUCAGGGCUGGGCACUUUCGAGGGCUUAUCUCAUCUGAUCUCGGAAGCUAAGCAGGGUAGGGCCUAGUUAGUACUUGGAUGGGAGACCACCUUGGAAGACCAGGUGCUGUAGGCG